rnacentral:rRNA from 1 species
UUGAGCAAUGGCGUGACGCAGGAGGAUAGGGUGAGCGGCCUAUUGGAUGGCCGUCUAAGCAGUAAGUGUGGUGUGUAGGCAAAUCCGCACACCAGUAAGCACAAGCUGUGAUGGCGAGGGAAAUAUAAGUACCGAAGUCCCUGAUUUCACACUGCCAAGAAAAGCGUCUAGCGAGGAACAAGGUGCCCGUACCGCAAACCGACACAGGUAGGCGAGGAGAGA